rnacentral:rRNA from 1 species
GAUGAACGCUGGCGGCGUGCCUAAUACAUGCAAGUCGAGCGAACGGACGAGAAGCUUGCUUCUCUGAUGUUAGCGGCGGACGGGUGAGUAACACGUGGAUAACCUACCUAUAAGACUGGGAUAACUUCGGGAAACCGGAGCUAAUACCGGAUAAUAUUUUGAACCGCAUGGUUCAAAAGUGAAAGACGGUCUUGCUGUUACUUAUAGAUGGUUCCGCGCUGCAUUAGCUAGUUGGUAAGGUAACGGCUUACCAAGGCAACGAUGCAUAGCCGACCUGGGAGGGUGAUCGGCCACACUGGAACUGAGACACGGUCCAGACUCCUACGGGAGGCAGCAGUAGGGAAUCUUCCGCAAUGGGCGAAAGCCUGACGGAGCAACGCCGCGUGAGUGAUGAAGGUCUUCGGAUCGUAAAACUCUGUUAUUAGGGAAGAACAUAUGUGUAAGUAACCGGGCACAUCUUGACGGUACCUAAUCAGAAAGCCACGGCUAACUACGUG